GCCCCGUUCGUCUAGAGGCCUAGGACGCUAGAUUUUCAUUCUAGAAACCAGGGGUUCGAAUCCCCUACGGGGUA
rnacentral:tRNA from 1 species